rnacentral:rRNA from 1 species
UACGGUAGGGUGCAAGCGUUAAUUCGGAAUUAGCUAGGGGCGUGAAAGCGUGCGGCAGGCGGUGAUGUAAAGACCAGGGUGUCGAAAUCCCCGGGCUUAACCUGGGAACUGACAUUUGUGACUGCAUCGCUGGAGUGCGGCAGAGGGGGAUGGAAUUCCGGCGUAGUAGCAGUGAAAUGCGUAGAGUAUGCGGAGGACACCGAUGGCGAAGGCAUCCCUGGCGCACUGACGCUCAAUGCACGGAAAGCGUGGGGGAGCAAACAGG